AUUGAACGCUGGCGGCAUGCUUUACACAUGCAAGUCGAACGGCAGCGGGGUAGUGCUUGCACUACUGCCGGCGAGUGGCGAACGGGUGAGUAAUAUAUCGGAACGUACCGAGUAAUGGGGGAUAACCAAUCGAAAGAUUGGCUAAUACCGCAUACGUCCUGAGGGAGAAAGCGGGGGAUCGCAAGACCUCGCGUUAUUCGAGCGGCCGAUAACUGAUUAGCUAGUUGGUGGGGUAAAGGCCUACCAAGACGACGAUCAGUAGCGGGUCUGAGAGGACGAUCCGCCACACUGGGACUGAGACACGGCCCAGACUCCUACGGGAGGCAGCAGUGGGGAAUUUUGGACAAUGGGGGCAACCCUGAUCCAGCCAUGCCGCGUGUAUGAAGAAGGCCUUCGGGUUGUAAAGUACUUUUGUUAGGGAAGAAAAGGGAAGUGCUAAUACCACUUUUUGCUGACGGUACCUAAAGAAUAAGCACCGGCUAACUACGUG
rnacentral:rRNA from 1 species